GUGCUCACUUCGGAGGCACAUAUUGAAAUUUGAAAGAUACAGAGAAUAUUAGCAAGGCCUCUGCUCAAGGAUGACACACAAUUUGUGAAGUGUUCCAUAUUUUU
ensembl:snRNA U6 U6 spliceosomal RNA